rnacentral:rRNA from 1 species
CGCGGCCUAUCAGCUUGUUGGUGGGGUAACGGCCCACCAAGGCAUCGACGGGUAGCUGGUCUGAGAGGACGAUCAGCCACACUGGGACUGAGACACGGCCCAGACUCCUACGGGAGGCAGCAGUGGGGAAUAUUGCGCAAUGGGCGAAAGCCUGACGCAGCAACGCCGCGUGGGGGAUGACGGCCUUCGGGUUGUAAACCCCUUUCAGCAGGGACGAAAAUGACGGUACCUGCAGAAGAAGCCCCGGCCAACUACGUGCCAGCAGCCGCGGUAACACGUAGGGGGCGAGCGUUGUCCGGAUUUAUUGGGCGUAAAGAGCUCGUAGGCGGUUGCGUAAGUCGGAUGUGAAAACUCAGGGCUCAACCCGGAGACGCCAUCCGAUACUGCGCUGACUAGAGUCCGGUAGGGGAGCAUGGAAUUCCUGGUGCAGCGGUGAAAUGCGCAGAUAUCAGGAGGAACACCAGUGGCGAAGGCGGUGCUCUGGGCCGGUACUGACGCUGAGGAGCGAAAGCGUGGGUAGCGAACAGGAUUAGAUACCCUGGUAGUCCACGCCGUAAACGCUGGGCACUAGGUGUGGGGCCUACUUAACGGGUUCCGUGCCGUAGCUAACGCAUUAAGUGCCCCGCCUGGGGAGUACGG